CAAUAGCGUAUAUUAAAGUUGUUGCGGUUAAAAGCUCGUAGUUGGAUUUCUGUCGAGGGCGAGCGGUCCACCCUAAGGGUGAGUAUCUGUCAGGCCUUGGCAUCCUCUUGGAGAACGUUGCUGUGAUUAAGUUCGUGGCACGGAAUUCAAGACUUUUACUUUGAGGAAAUUAGAGUGUUCACGGCAAGCAAUCGCUUUGAAUACAUUAGCAUGGAAUAAUAAUAUAGGACCUUGGUACUAUUUUGUUGGUUUCUAGAACUAAGGUAAUGGUUAAUAGGGACAGUUUGGGGGCAUUCGUAUUAACGCGUCAGAGGUGGAAUUCUUGGAUUGCGUUACGACGAACUACUGCGAAAGCAUUUGCCAAGGAUGUUUUCAUUGAUCAAGAACGAAAGUAUGGGGAUCGAAGAUGAUCAGAUACCAU
rnacentral:rRNA from 1 species